AUCCUGCUGGUGAGUCCCAAAUAGGACGAAACGCGUCUCCUGAAU
rfam:Schistosoma rodhaini strain Burundi genome assembly, scaffold: SROB_scaffold0008425